GACUUAGCACGCAUGCCCUGUAUAAAUUUAAAAUGUAUGAUAAAAUGACUUAUGAACAUAUACAUUGUGAGAUGAUUACCAUGCUAAGUUUAUUAACAUCCAUCAUUUCCUAUAGAUACAAAUAAAAGAAAAAAAUGUUUUUUCCUUGAGAGAACUCUUAGGAUCUACUCUCUUCACAACUUUCAAAUUUGGCGACUCUGAAUCCCACAGGCGCUGCCCCAGUUUCUGCAUCUGUUUAGUGAGGGCAUGAGCAAAAUGAGGCAAAGCACAAGAGCCUACUUUCUCCAGGUGCCAAGAUGACCUGAUGCCUCCUCGCUGCACUCCCUCAGCUCCAGCCCUGCCCUGGCUGCCCAGAAAUUGACCUUUGCCCUGAAGAGGCGGUGACAGAAGAGGAACUUUCACUAGAGAACCAAGAGGAGGAAACUGAGGCCCAGAGGAUUGAGUGAUCUCACCUAGGCGGUCACUGGACAGGCUGGAAUUCAAACCAGGGGCCACAACUCUGUGCCUGAGAUGUAGGAGUGGGGUGAGCCACACCCACCUCUCAGUGAUCCUGGAGUGGGAUGUCUCUAUAACUAAUGAGUCUCUAUAUCAACCCCCUUUGUGGGCUGAUGAUAUUUUCCAAAGAUGCUCACCAUAAUAUCUCCCCUCCUAUAUGCUCUUCCUAAAGAUAAAGAUGAUUCCUAAAAAUUCCUCUCACCUCAAGGCGGGGCCUAUGGAACGAGCCGAGUUCUAGAAAAGAUAAUAAGGCUUCCACCUGGUUCCCUUGGAUACUCGCACUGGAACCCAGCCGCCAUGCUACAAGGAAGCCCAGGCCACAUGGAAGGGUCACAGGCAGGUGUUCCAGCUGCAGUCCCAGCUGGCAGCCAGCAUCGAUUGCCAGAUAAAUGUGUAAGAAAACUUCUAGAUAACUCCAGGCCCGGCCAUGGCCUGACUGCAAAUCUGUGAGAAAUCCUGAGCAAGAACUGCCCUAGUUGAGCCAGCAGGCCCCCAGAGCCAUGAGAGAUGAUGAUGCUUGGGGUGAUUUAAGAGGUAGUGUAGGUUACUGGACAC